rnacentral:other from 1 species
UUCAGUAGUGAUUGUCAUCUUGAAUAAUUGUGUAGAGCAAGAAUAGUAAUAUAUCGUGCUAAGUUAGCACCUGGAGGAAUUGAAAUGAACAAAGGUACAGUAAAAUGGUUUAACGCAGAAAAAGGCUUCGGUUUCAUCGAAGUUGAGGGUGGAGACGAUGUAUUCGUUCACUUCUCUGCAAUUCAAGAAGAAGGUUUCAAAUCACUAGAAGAAGGUCAAACUGUUACAUUCGACAUCGAAGAAGGUAACCGUGGACCACAAGCUUCUAACGUAGUUAAGCAGUAGUCUUACUACCAACAAAGGACUUCUCAUAAUGAGAAGUCCUUUUUU